rnacentral:lncRNA from 1 species
UGGGUUCUUUUCACUUUCGUGAUCACCUUUUAGCAAGUAGGCAGAUUUGAGUUCUUUUAAUUAUCACGACCAGAGUCAGUCGAUGAGAAUGGGCGUGCCAAGUGGUAAGGACUCACGAUCCACCGCGCUCCCCAGCCAACGCUUUUGCUUCAUGUAGGAGCCUCCUGGGAGCAUCUGCUCUGUGCCCACAGAACUCACAGCUUCUGGGGAAACCAAGGCCAACACGGAAGAGCUCCUGCUGUACUCUCCAAAGGAGACAAAUGUUUGGAAAAAUCUUUUCAGUGCUUUUGGAGAUGGCAUUAGGGGCACAUUUUGUGAUGGGAUGGCAGCCUUGUGUUAUUGUCCAUUCAAAAAGCGGCAGAUGGUACAAAGAGAGGAAGAGCCUCUGUCACUUAGAGCUCCUGGACCAGGGCUUCUUUCAUGGUGCCCCGCUGGCAUCUCGAGGUGGAGUGCAGUUGAUCUGGACAUGGCAUGGUGUUGUCACGGUGGCUGUCCCUCUGCGUCCCCAAGGAGCCAUCCCUCUCACCCCCAGCCCCAGCUUGUUGCUAGGAACACCGUGUGCUUGGGUUACACACUUUGCAGUGAAAACAAAGGCAAACCGAACGUGGAACCACCAUGUGGUCUAGGCUGCAACCUGGAAGUAACCACUCACCAGUGGGAGAGUGGGAGACCAUGUCCAGCCACAGCUACUGCCAGGAUGGACUGUCACAGACAUCCUUCUCUCCAGUCCUCUGGGGCUGGAGUUGGUGGCAGAUUGAACCCCAACUGCCAACAUAAACCAGAGUGGCUCCUUCUCCAGGAACACUACAACACAGAGGUCUGGGUGCCCCCUGACUUCAAAGGACCCUCCCAC